UCUUGUACUCACCGCCCGUCAACUCAAGGGAGCCGGGAAGAGGGGAAGCUUAGCGCAAGCUGAGUCAGCCUCGGCUCGGUGACAGGGAGU
rnacentral:rRNA from 1 species